GAUGAAGAACGCAGCGAAAUGCGAUAAGUAGUGUGAAUUGCAGAAUUCCGUGAAUCAUCGAAUCUUUGAACGCACAUUGCGCCCGCCAGUAUUCUGGCGGGCAUGCCUGUUCGAGCGUCAUUUCAACCCUCAAGCACAGCUUGGUGUUGGGACUCGCGUUAAUUCGCGUUCCCCAAAUUGAUUGGCGGUCACGUCGAGCUUCCAUAGCGUAGUAGUAAAACCCUCGUUACUGGUAAUCGUCGCGGCCACGCCGUUAAACCCCAACUUCGGAAUGUUGACCUCGGAUCAGGUAGGAAUACCCGCUGAACUUAAGCAUAUCAAUAAGCGGAGGA
rnacentral:misc_RNA from 1 species